AAUUUGCAGCAUUUAACUGUAAACCCGUUGGCGCCUUUAAAAAAACUGUUUUGCGCUGUAAAAAGCAGCAUGUGAGGGGUGUGGAUUUUUUUUUUUUUAACAGUCGCCUUUUUCAGCGCGGUAAACAAGAUAACAUCACAGCUCGCCUCUUCCCUUCACCUCCGUUGUUUUGAAGGACACGGUUCAAGGGAGGACAGAGACCUGCAUUGAACGAUGGAUGAUUACCCUUGAGGGUCGCGUCAUUUGUGAAGGUGUACACCCAAGAUUUCUGACUGCAGUAGCAACAAUGUUCGCAAUGUACUACGUCUUUAACCUUCAGUAUACAGAGGAGGCAUGUGGCACAUUGGAAUUCAUUUAGAGACGAUUCAUUGGGAUAAACCCUGAAAAAGGCACGAAGACCAGCAGAGGCAAGGUUGUUUCAAAGAAAACUGGAAAGAUCGUGAACAAGACGACAGCUACUGUCAACCCCAAAGUCGCAUCCCUUCUAAAGAACCUCAUCGAUUUCGAAUGGGAUUUUGUCUAGACCCGGAUGUCCUGUCAGGUCAGAGCCAUCAGAAGCUGGAGUGAGACAUUUUUUUCGACUACUGGUUUGGUUAAAUGUUUGGUUGGCUAUGUGUUCCUAUCAGACUUGCACUUAGUCUCAUGCCAGAUUAAAACAAUAACAACAACAAAAACUUGUGGCAUUUUGGCAGGGUUUUUUUUUCUACUGUAUUUGUAGUUUUUUUUUUUUUUUUACACAGGGGUUCCUUUAA